rnacentral:sRNA from 1 species
UUACAGGGUAAACUCUCCAUUGGCAGGCAGCCACUUACAGAAUUAAUAUGCAUUUUUGUUUUAGUCUGCUCUCUGCCAAAGGAGAUUUGCCCGGCGAU